GUGGGGAAUCUUGCGCAAUGGGCGAAAGCCUGACGCAGCCAUGCCGCGUGAAUGAUGAAGGUCUUAGGAUUGUAAAAUUCUUUCACCGGGGACGAUAAUGACGGUACCCGGAGAAGAAGCCCCGGCUAACUCCGUGCCAGCAGCCGCGGUAAUACGAAGGGGGCUAGCGUUGCUCGGAAUUACUGGGCGUAAAGGGCGCGUAGGCGGAUAUUUAAGUCGGGGGUGAAAGCCCGGGGCUCAACCUCGGAAUAGCCUUCGAUACUGGAUAUCUUGAGUACGGGAGAGGUGUGGGGAACUCCGAGUGUAGAGGUGAAAUUCGUAGAUAUUCGGAAGAACACCAGUGGCGAAGGCGACACACUGGCCCGUUACUGACGCUGAGGCGCGAAAGCGUGGGGAGCAAACAGGAUUAGAUACCCCAGUAGUCC
rnacentral:rRNA from 1 species